ACCGUCUUCCUGGACCGCUCAGCGACGCUGUCUGCUACCGAUCGUUGUUAAGUGUGGGCUGACACGAAGCGAGCAAUAUUUGAUUAGCAGCUCCAACGACUAACCGUGUUUGACAAGCGGACGCCGCAUUGCAUAAUAUCCAAUGUUUCCCUGUGCCCGACGAGAGCUGAUAUUCGACUGGGGUGUAUAUUUUUGAUAGCCAUGACAAUGCGCUGCAGGAAACAUUGUGUUUUAACAGUUCUAAUCCCGCUUUUCAUUUGCCUAUUGAUUGGACAAACUAUUCUGUCAGUGACCCGUCAAAUUCGAUACAGCCGAUACAUGGCACUAGACAUAGACUUUUCCUACUUAAUGGAAUUGCGGGAACGGAUAAAUCCAGCACCAUUUGAAACGUUUGAAUUUGAGGAAUUGCUACACGAUUACAAGAAGAAAAAAUAAAAGAUCUACAGCAAGCGGGGCUAUGGAGAACAAAUCCAGAAUUAAAUU